rnacentral:rRNA from 1 species
AUGGCUCAGAUUGAACGCUGGCGGCAGGCCUAACACAUGCAAGUCGAGCGGUAACACAGGAGAGCUUGCUCUCUGGGUGACGAGCGGCGGACGGGUGAGUAAUGUCUGGGAAACUGCCCGAUGGAGGGGGAUAACUACUGGAAACGGUAGCUAAUACCGCAUAACGUCUUCGGACCAAAGAGGGGGACCUUCGGGCCUCUUGCCAUCGGAUGUGCCCAGAUGGGAUUAGCUAGUAGGUGGGGUAAUGGCUCACCUAGGCGACGAUCCCUAGCUGGUCUGAGAGGAUGACCAGCCACACUGGAACUGAGACACGGUCCAGACUCCUACGGGAGGCAGCAGUGGGGAAUAUUGCACAAUGGGCGCAAGCCUGAUGCAGCCAUGCCGCGUGUAUGAAGAAGGCCUUCGGGUUGUAAAGUACUUUCAGCGAGGAGGAAGGCGUUGCGGUUAAUAACCGCAGCGAUUGACGUUACUCGCAGAAGAAGCACCGGCUAACUCCGUGCCAGCAGCCGCGGUAAUACGGAGGGUGCAAGCGUUAAUCGGAAUUACUGGGCGUAAAGCGCACGCAGGCGGUCUGUCAAGUCGGAUGUGAAAUCCCCGGGCUCAACCUGGGAACUGCAUUCGAAACUGGCAGGCUAGAGUCUUGUAGAGGGGGGUAGAAUUCCAGGUGUAGCGGUGAAAUGCGUAGAGAUCUGGAGGAAUACCGGUGGCGAAGGCGGCCCCCUGGACAAAGACUGACGCUCAGUC